rnacentral:rRNA from 1 species
AUUGAACGCUGGCGGCAUGCCUUACACAUGCAAGUCGAACGGCAGCACGGGUUCUUGCACCUGGUGGCGAGUGGCGAACGGGUGAGUAAUACAUCGGUACAUGUCCUGUCCUCGGGGAUAGCGCGGCGAAAGCCGGAUUAAUACCGCAUACGAACUUCGGAUCAUAGCGGGGGCCCUUCUGGCCUUGCCCUAUUGGGAUGGCCGAUGGCUGAUAAGCUAGUUGGUGGGGUAAAGGCCUAACAAGGCGGCGACCAGUAUCGGGUCUGAGAGCAAGACCAGCCAGACUGGCACUGAGAAAGGGCCCAGACUCCUGCGGGAGGACGCAGUGGGGAAUUUUGGACGAUGGGGCAGUGCCUGAUCCAGCAAUACCGCGGGUGGGAAGAAGGCCUUCGGGUUGUAAAGCGCUUAUGUCCGGAAAGAAGUCCUUGGCCCUAAUACGGUAGGGGGAUGACGGUACCGGAAGAAUAAGCACCGGCUAACUACGUG